UUCCAAUCCACAAUGACAAAAUAGAACACUGGUUGCUUUUUAUAGUACACAUCGGUGAUGGUAUUGUAGAAAUAUGUGACUCGAUGUUGGACAAACAUGGGUCGUCAACUGGAAGUGGUCUUGUGAAAAUGGUGGUAAGUGUAACUUAGAUUUUGGUGUGGGAUUAAGUUAAUAGUUGCAAAAUAAGAAUGGUAUUUUAAUGAAAUGUUUUAUUGUUAAAUUUGGAAGAGAACUAGUUAAGGUGGGAGUGUAAUAUAUUCAUGAAUUUAGAAGUUGAUGAUUUUGUUAAUUGAUCUUCAGAUGGAGAAGCUUGAUUACUUACUUGCUGACCAAAUAGUCGACAAAAUGGGGCCUUCUUUUUCAUUCACCCGUUUUCAGGUUCAGACAAAUGUUGGAGUUCUUCAACAAUUAAAUGGAUAUGACUGUGGCAUCCACGUCAUUAACCGGAUUGAGGGUCGUCACGAGGUCUAUUUCAAACACUCCGUUGUAAGUGUCUUUUAUAUAUGUCGAAGAGGGUUUAAUUCUGCGAAUGAGAGGAUUCGCAUUGCUCUUGGGCUGGUGACUUCUACGCACAACAAAAUUUGGGGCAAAGUUCAGCUUGGUUUCGAUGUGUGGAAGAAGACGAAGAACCAGGGAAUGAGGGGGGGAUUAAAUAGGAAGUUAUUUUAAGUGCAUUUACAGGGGAGUGUUUGACAGUUGUUAUUUUUUGGGACCGCCUGUAUAUGAUGGAAUUGGUUGCACAAGUACUUCAUCUUUUGGGACCGAUACCGGGCCAUUUUGCUCUUUCUCUACUUCAAAUUUUUACAAGUCGGUUGAAUAUUUCUUUCUAACACAUAACACAAUAUAUGGAUGGUGGACAGUCAUGUGAAGAUAUUUUUUAGUUGUACAGACUAACAUUUGUAGAGA